rnacentral:rRNA from 1 species
UACAGAGGGGGCAAGCGUUGUUCGGAAUUACUGGGCGUAAAGGGCGCGUAGGCGGCCUGUUAAGUCGAACGUGAAAUCCCCGGGCUCAACCCGGGAACUGCGUCCGAUACUGGCAGGCUUGAAUCCGGGAGAGGGAUGUGGAAUUCCAGGUGUAGCGGUGAAAUGCGUAGAUAUCUGGAGGAACACCGGUGGCGAAGGCGGCAUCCUGGACCGGUAUUGACGCUGAGGAGCGAAAGCCAGGGGAGCAAACGGG